rnacentral:rRNA from 1 species
UACGUAGGGUGCAAGCGUUGUCCGGAAUUAUUGGGCGUAAAGAGCUCGUAGGCGGUUUGUCGCGUCUGCUGUGAAAACUGGAGGCUCAACCUCCAGCCUGCAGUGGGUACGGGCAGACUAGAGUGCGGUAGGGGAGAUUGGAAUUCCUGGUGUAGCGGUGGAAUGCGCAGAUAUCAGGAGGAACACCGAUGGCGAAGGCGGUUCUCUGGGCCUGUACUGACGCUGAGGGGCGAAAGCGUGGGGAGCGAACAGG